rnacentral:rRNA from 1 species
GUAAACCCAAGGUUUCCAGGGGAAGGUUCGUCCGCCCUGGGUUAGUCGGGACCUAAGCUGAGGCCGAAAGGCGUAGGUGAUGGACAACAGGUUGAUAUUCCUGUACUACCGAUAACCGUUUGAGAGAAGGGAUGACACAGUAGGAUAAGCUAAGCACACUGUUGGUUAUGUGUGCCCAAGCAUUGAGGGAGUCAAAG